CAGGACUGUAGGACUUUAUAUUUGUUUAACUUUUUGUGCUAUCCAUUUGGUUUUAAAGGACAAGAGCUCAAUAUUCCGAGCUCAGGCUGGGGACUUGAACGCAUCACCAGCAGCUCUCAGUGGAGCCGGGAUCACAAACGGGCAUGUUCACAUUUAAUUUACUGCAAUAAAAGGGAGAAUGGCGGCACUGUGGAAAUCCUACCAGGUGUUGAUGACCAAAUACCCCUGGAGUGUGCAGAUAGUGACUGCUGGUAGGGAAUAACCCCUCCUUUCGUACAUGCUGAUAACAUGCAUAUCCAAAAACUCCAAUUAACAGAGGUGGACGAAGUACUCAAGUCAAACGUUGCAAUACUACGGUGUAAAAAUACUGUCACAGUCAAGCAUUCAAAGUCUUAUUCAAGUUCAAUUAAAAAGGGAUUAUA